rnacentral:rRNA from 1 species
UACGCACGCUGGCGGCGUGCUUAACACAUGCAAGUCGAACGGAAAGGCCCCUUUGGGGGUACUCGAGUGGCGAACGGGUGAGUAACACGUGAGUAACCUGCCCUUGACUUCGGGAUAACUUCAGGAAACUGGGGCUAAUACCGGAUAGGAAUCCUUGCUGCAUGGUGGGGGUUGGAAAGCUUCGGCGGUUUUGGAUGGACUCGCGGCGUAUCAGCUUGUUGGUGGGGUAGUGGCUUACCAAGGCUUUGACGGGUAGCCGGCCUGAGAGGGCGACCGGCCACAUUGGGACUGAGAUACGGCCCAGACUCCUACGGGAGGCAGCAGUGGGGAAUAUUGCACAAUGGGCGGAAGCCUGAUGCAGCAACGCCGCGUGCGGGAUGACGGCCUUCGGUUUGUAAACCGCUUUCAGCAGGGGCGAAGCUUUUGUGACGGUACCUGCAGAAGAAGCACCGGCUAACUACGUG